AGAUUCCACCACCAAAUCUCGUGUAAUACGAUAUUUAUCCACUCUCGACAGUUAAAUUUUAAAUAUUUAAAACACGUUUUUAAAAUUUGAAAAUUUAACUGUCUCAAGUGGAUAAAUAUCGUAUCACACUCGAUGCAGUGGUAGAAUCU
rnacentral:sRNA from 1 species